UCUAGGAUGCCUGACAAAAGGGUUAUUAUGAUAUAAUAAUUUAUGUGAUUAAUCAAUUACUUCUAG
rnacentral:tRNA from 1 species